rnacentral:lncRNA from 1 species
AGUCUUCUUAUUAUAUUUUAGUUUCUUUUUUUAUUUAUUUUUAUUUUGCUUUGCUCUUUUUUUUUGUUGCUUUUCUGAUUAUUUUUUAUAUGUAUAUAUUGACAUCCUCCAUUGUGAUUCUAAAAUAUUAAUAAAAGUAAAGUAUAAAAAUUUUAGAAUUUUAGAUUAUUAUAUUCUUGCUGUAGUUAUGUUUUAUCACAUUUUUCUGAAGAUUGCAGUGUUGGUUUACUAUUAUUUUAUUUGUUAGUUUUUUAACA